GUGGUUGAAUACGAAGACCAGACAUAGCCAGUAAAUCUCUUUACGAGCACAAGUCUUAUAAAAAUAAUUUCAGGGCUUUUAGUCUGAAAUCUGAGAAAACGGUCCAAGAUGAAAUACCUGUGCGUCCUCGUUCUUCUCCUCGUUGUGUCCGCUGUCUUCCUGCAGGAGUGCUCAGGAGCCACCGCAGGAGACAGGCUUGACAUGACCAAUUUGAAAGAUCUGUUGUCCAGAGCUUUGAGAGAGGUCGAGGCAGCAAAGCCUGGUAAUCGCUGGGGCUGAUGACGAGCAGAGACAAGUAAUUACAGUUCUUGUGAAAAUACGAGUAGCCUAAGCUUAUAUUAAUAAAUUAUGCAAUUAUAUUUCUCCUAGCUAAUGUUGUGUUUCUCUUAGUCUUGCCCAACGUUACUCUACUCUAGCAUUUUAUAAUGUAUUAUCACAAGAGCUUAUUGUGAAAAAAAAUUGACUCGAAGUUAAGAGUAGAUCUAUCUUAUUUUCUACAUGAAGGAAUAAAAGAAAUAUUGUCAUACCAG